GGUUCUUACUUACAUGAUAUUUAAAUGCAGUCUGAUGCUCAGACAGUCAGCAGCAAGACAACAUGGAGGUCACAGCUCUCUGCAUCAGACUGAUGAGGACUGGGAUGUUGCUGCUGGUCGCACAAGCUGCCUUCAGUUAUUCCCAAAAAGCUGAUGCAGCUUUUCCUCAGGUUGUUCCAAACAGACAGCAGCACUUUGAAUAUGAUCCUCUUGUUAUCAGCUGUGAGGGACUGGAGGGAUGGAAGCUGAUCAGGAGAAUCAAAGGAGUAGUUAAAUCAUGUUCUACUUCCUGGUCAACAUCUGGACCCUGUGAAAUUAAAUCUACCAUUUCAGCAGUUGACAGUGGAGAGUACUGGUGUGAAAUGGGAGUAAAGACCAGUUACACUGUCAACAUCACUGUCACUGGUGGUCCAGUGAUCCUGGAGAGUCCUGUCCUUCCUGUGAUGGAGGGAGAAGCUGCCACUCUGAGCUGCAGAGAUAAGCAGGAAUCCCCCAACCUCACAGCUGAAUUCUUUAAGGAUGGCCACUUGAUGGAGAGAAGCUCUACGGUAAACAUGACCAUCCACAGAGUGACCAAGUCUUAUGAAGGAGUCUACAAGUGCAGGAUCUCUAAUGGAGGAGAAUCACCAGAGAGCUGGCUGACGGUCAGAGCAGCCGGUGAAGAGCCUCAUCACGGCCUUGAUCUCCUUCGGCUGCUCUGCAUUGGUGUCGGUGUUUUCUUGGUGGCUCUGCUGCUGUUGCUGGGAUUACUGAAAUGUUGUAAACGUCCAACAGUCACCAGAGAUACCCCGACCUCUCCUUCCUCCUUCCAGUCUUCCUCUUCUCCUCAAACAGUGAAUGAAGAGGCCAGUGUAGCUGCUCCGAUAGAGACAACAUAUGCUGUCGUCACAAGGGUUGACAAAGAUAAUGAUGAGUCCUUUUCGUUUAAUCCUGUUUACCAUACCUUAAGCCUGGGGAAGGCUUGACAAACAAUUAAGUCCACAAUGAAAAGGUAAUACUGAGUUGGACCCGUGAAGAAAACACUUUUACUCACUGCCACUUGAUCAUUUUAAGACUUUAAGAUGUAUAACUGUUUUGUCUUAUUGUGUAUGUAGUGUUGUGAAUAGUGUGUUUUGUCAUAAAUGCAAGUGCCUAAGUCAAAUUUCAAUAUUUAAAAUCUUCCCCUGUGGUCCACAAUUUCUGACUAGUGUUACAUUUCUAUCAAGAGACUUCAACGUCAUUCAUGGUUGUAUAGAUUUCAGCUUUCAGGUAAAUGAAAAAUUCAUAAUUUGAAACUGCAAUUUGUCCUUAAAACAGAACCAGGAGGAUCCAGCCACUGCACCAGAAUUGCAGGUUACUGACAGCAGAGACUCCUGACUGAAGAAGGAAGAGAUUUAAAACUGUGUUAUAUGUGCC